UUUUGCAUUUUGCACACCUCUCAUAAGCUUUGAACAGUUGAACUGGAUUGCCUUCCACAUAAUUUUUAAUUAAAUAUAUGGAUGUCGGCUUCCGUUACUCCAGAAUUUAUUUCGUAAGAUUUAGGGUGUGUGAAAUCUGCCUUAUGUCAAAUCUACUUUCAUUCUCUGGACUGCAGGACGGCAUGUCGCAUGAGAUGGAUGUGUGAGAUAAAUUUUGAUGGGCGAGCCUUUCAGAUCUGUAUUGAUCGUUUUGCAGCUCAAAUUGCUGCCACGUUUACUGCUCUAAGGAGGUACUCACGAAUAUACUUCAAAUUUAAUCGAUAUUUAAUGCAAUACAGUGCGCGGGAAUGAUUAUCCUUCACUCCCUGCAAAUUUGCAAUGAUAUUGCGGCAAAAACCCAAAAAAGAUACCCAAAAUAUAUUUGAAAAUUUAUACAAGGUAUGUUUGAUAUUUUAUCCUUCUUCCCAAAAAGCUAUUUAGGCCAUUUUUGCAAUCAUAACUCGCACAUUUCUAAGGUGUAAAUCGCAGAGGCUCAUUUAAUGGAAAGGUUAAGUUGCUCUCAUCCCUCAAUGCUUAUAAAUGCACGUAUUCGGUUUCCACCGUACAACGUCCGCUCUGGUCUUCAUUUUUCAGUGGAGUGUUUUGAAUUUGGGUUUUCCUUUUCUGAUUCAGGGGUUUGGGAUUUUAGGGAAUUGUGUUCUUUUCCUAUCAUCAACUAUGGCAAAUGUAGGUGGAAUCAUAAAUUACAAGAAUAGGUUGCAGGAAUAUACUAUGAAAAAACCUCUUCCAUUGCCUGUUUAUGAGACUCUGACUGAGGGUUUAGACCAUUUUCCUCGAUUUAGGUCUUUUGUGACUGUGAACGGGGUCAGAUAUCAAUCCACUUCUGGUCACUCUCGCAAGAAAGAAGCAGAAUAGUCUGCUGCCAAGGCUGCUGUAGAUGAUUUCACCAGAAAGGUUUCCGAUUACCAAUUUGAAGAGACGAUAGGGAAAGGACUUCUUUCUGAGCUUCUUGUAAGGGUGGGUAUGAGCCAGGUCCCUCCCAUGUUUUCCACUACCAUGACAGGAGCUGCUCAUUCUCCAACCUUUACUUCAAUGGUGGAGAUAAAUGGGGUCUCUUACGUUGGAGGUAAAACAAAGAGUAAGAGGGAAGCGGAAGCAAAGGCUGCCUUUGAAGCAUUUCAAGCAAUUAAAACAGAACUUGGUGAAUCUACCUCCGAGCCUCAAAUUCGUGUGCAAAGUGAUAGGAUUAAUGCGUUGAAACAACCUAAUCAAUAUAGCAAGGAUGCGAGGUCUGAAACAAAAGCAACUAUGUUGCAUGGGUACUCAUACCCAACCCCCUAGAACGCGUACCGGAGACUGGUACGCGUCUCCCGUACCGGAGACCUGUCAGGAGACGUUUCUACACAUAGGAGACUCCAUGUCAACGAACCCUCCCGUCUCCACCCUAAAUAACAUGUGCAAAAGUCAAAAAGUUUGACACGAUGCAUGGGCAGAAGCAAAAACCACCGACGUGAGCCCCAUUUUCAGACAUUUGUAUGACAUUUUGAAUCGACUCAUUUCACAUUUGUGUACUUAAACUUCAAAGUGAAUGUUAAUUCUUGUUUUGAAAGUUCAAUGCCUUUAUAUUUUCAGAUUUUCUAUAAAUUAUUAAAUUAUAUUUAAAAAAAAUUGAUGUCUCCAAAUACCCCCGUCUCCUUUUUUGA